rnacentral:SRP_RNA from 1 species
GCCGGGCAUGGUGGCGCGUGCCUGUAAUCCAGGCUACUUGUGAGGCUGAGGCAAGAGGACUGCUUGACCUGGGGAGGCGGAGGUUACAGUGAGGUGAGAUGGCGCCACUACACUCCAGCCUGGGCAACAGAGUCAGACUCUGUCUCAAUUUUUUUUUUUUUUUUUUUUUUUUUGAGAUGGAGUUUCGCUCUGUUGCCCAGGCUGGAGUGCAGUGGUGUGAUCUCGGCUCACUGCAAGCUCCGCUUCCCAGGUUCACGGCAUUCUCCUGCCUCAG